GCUGGGCGUGGUGACGCAUGCCUGUAAUCCCAGCUACUGGGGAGGCUGAGGCAGGAGAAUUGCUUGAACCCAGGAGACGGAGGUUGCAGUGAGUCAAGAUUGCACCACUGCACUCCAGCCUGGGUGACAGAGUGAAACUCUGUCUUGG
ensembl:misc_RNA Metazoa_SRP Metazoan signal recognition particle RNA